CUCCCCGUAACGCCGUCCACGCCACCGUCCUCCACUCCCUCCUCUCCCUCCGCAACGCCGUCAUCCGCAACCGUUUCGAAUGGAACGACAAAACCAACCCUCUCCUCCGCGCCCCCAACGACGCCGCCGUUUCCAAGCCCCUCUCCAAACGCAAAUUCCGCGCCGCUAUCCAAUCCGGCAAGCCCUGCUUCCAGGACCGCGUCGUUCAGGAGAUUCUCUUGAUGAUUCUCGAACCGGUUUUUGAACCCCGGUUCUCCCCUAAAUCUCACGCGUUUCGACCCGGUCGAAACGCCCACACGGUUAUUCGAACCAUUCGGAGCAACUUCG
rnacentral:misc_RNA from 1 species